UACGUAGGGUGCGAGCGUUGUCCGGAAUUAUUGGGCGUAAAGAGCUUGUAGGCGGUUUGUCGCGUCUGCUGUGAAAACUCGGAGCUUAACUCCGAGCCUGCAGUGGGUACGGGCAGACUAGAGUAUGGUAGGGGAGACUGGAAUUCCUGGUGUAGCGGUGGAAUGCGCAGAUAUCAGGAGGAACACCGAUGGCGAAGGCAGGUCUCUGGGCCAUAACUGACGCUGAGAAGCGAAAGCGUGGGGAGCGAAC
rnacentral:rRNA from 1 species